UCCUACGGGAGGCAGCAGUGGGGAAUAUUGCACAAUGGGGGAAACCCUGAUGCAGCCAUGCCGCGUGAGUGAAGAAGGCCUUUGGGUUGUAAAACUCUUUCGUCGGGGAAGAAAAUGACUGUACCCGAAUAAGAAGGUCCGGCUAACUUCGUGCCAGCAGCCGCGGUAAU
rnacentral:rRNA from 1 species